rnacentral:rRNA from 1 species
GAUCAUGGCUCAGAUUGAACGCUGGCGGCAGGCCUAACACAUGCAAGUCGAACGGUAACAGGAAGCAGCUUGCUGCUUUGCUGACGAGUGGCGGACGGGUGAGUAAUGUCUGGGAAGCUGCCUGAUGGAGGGGGAUAACUACUGGAAACGGUAGCUAAUACCGCAUAACGUCGCAAGACCAAAGAGGGGGACCUCGGGUCCGUCUUUGCCAUCGGAGUGUGGCCCACGAUGGGAGUUAGU